GUGCUUACUUUGGCGGCACAGAUACUAAAAUUAGAACCAUACAGAGAAGAUUAUCAUGGCCCCGUGCAAGGAUGACACGGAAAUCUGUGAAGCUCUACAUAUUUUU
ensembl:snRNA U6 U6 spliceosomal RNA